rnacentral:rRNA from 1 species
UCCCGGGCCUUGUACACACCGCCCGUCACACCAUGGAGUGGGUUGCAAAGAAGUAGGUAGCUUAACCUUCGGGAGGGCGCUUACCACUUUGUGAUUCAUGACUGGGGUGAAGUCGUAACAAGGUAACCGUAGGGGAACCUGCGGUUGGAUCACCUCCUUA